rnacentral:rRNA from 1 species
GACGAACGCUGGCGGCGUGCCUAAUACAUGCAAGUUGAGCGCUGAAGGUUGGUACUUGUACCAACUGGAUGAGCAGCGAACGGGUGAGUAACGCGUGGGGAAUCUGCCUUUGAGCGGGGGACAACAUUUGGAAACGAAUGCUAAUACCGCAUAAAAACUUUACACACAAGUUUUAAGUUUGAAAGAUGCAAUUGCAUCACUCAAAGAUGAUCCCGCGUUGUAUUAGCUAGUUGGUGAGGUAAAGGCUCACCAAGGCGAUGAUACAUAGCCGACCUGAGAGGGUGAUCGGCCACAUUGGGACUGAGACACGGCCCAAACUCCUACGGGAGGCAGCAGUAGGGAAUCUUCGGCAAUGGACGAAAGUCUGACCGAGCAACGCCGCGUGAGUGAAGAAGGGUUUCGGAUCGUAAAACUCUGUUGGUAGAGAAGAACGUUGGUGAGAGUGGAAAGCUCAUCAAGUGACGGUAACUACCCAGAAAGGGACGGCUAACUACGUG